rnacentral:lncRNA from 1 species
AACGACGAAUCAAAGAAUUCAACUUUAUAUACAACUAAUAUAAUACAAAGGUGUAGAUUAAAAAUUACACCACUCCAGGCCCUUUUGUUUUCCACGUAAUUAAUAUUGCCAAUAAUUAGGAAGUUCCGGGUCGAGUCCGAUACCGAUACCAAUAGUAUAAUCACCUGUUACCUAUUACCUUAUCUGUACGUUCCGCAUCUGACAGGCGCACCACCAAACGGUGUAAUCAGGAUUAAUAUGCUAUAUACACGGGUCAUCAUCACAGGGUUGACACUACUAAAUUGUCAAAUUGUUACUUAUUGCAGUAUUUUAAUCCGUAAGACUUUCUAAGAUAACAAUACGAAUACUAAAAAUCUGGACUAAAAAUAAGUUUCAAUUUGUUAGCGGGC